CAGUUGAUUUUACUGAGAGCUGAAAUGGAGUAUAGACAAGUUCAAAGGGAGAAAAUCUCUUGCUUCAUCUGUUUGGAGAUAGUGAAGGAUCCGGUGACUAUUCCCUGUGGACACAGCUACUGUAUGACCUGCAUUAACGACCAAUGGGAUGGAGAAGUUCAGAGGAGAAACCACAGCUGCCCUCAAUGCAGAGAGAAAUUUAGAAAAAGACCUGUCUUGAAGAAAAGCACAAUGUUAGCAGAUUUAGUGGAUGAUCUGAAGAAGAAUGAACUCCAAGCUGCUCCAGCUAAUCACUGCUAUGCUGAACCUGAAGAUGUGGCCUGUGAUGUCUGCACUGGGAGGAAGAGGAAAGCUGUCAAGUCCUGCUUAUCCUGUCCAGCUUCCUACUGUGAGACUCACCUCCAACCUCACUAUGAUGCUCCACCAUUAAAAAAGCACAAGCUGGUGAAUCCCUCCAAGAAUCUCCAGGAGAACAUUUGCUCUCGUCAUGAUGAGGUGAUGAAGAUCUUCUGUCGUACUGAUCAGCAGUGUAUCUGUUAUCUCUGCUUAAUGGAUGAACAUAAAGGCCAUGAAACAGUCCCAGCUGCAGCAGAAACAGCAGAGAAGCAGAAGGAGCUUCAGGAGAGUCGACAACAAAUCCAUCAGAGAAUCCAGGACCAAGAGAAAGAUGUGAAGCUGCUUCAACAGGAGGUGGAGGCCAUCAAUGUCUCUGCUGAUAAAGCAGUGGAGGACAGUGAGAAGAUCUUCACUGAGAUGAUCCGUCUCCUCCAGGAAAGAAGCUCUGAUGUGAAGCAGCAGAUCAGAUCCCAGCAGGAAACUGAAGUGAGUCGAGUCAAAGAUGUUCAGGAGAAGCUGGAGCAGGAGAUCACUGAGCUGAAGAGGAAAGACGCUGAGCUGGAGCAGCUCUCACACACAGAGGAUCACAACCAGUUUCUCCUCAACUACCCCUCACUGCCAGCACUCAGUGAGUCUACACACUCAUCCAGCAUCAACAUCCGUCCUCUGAGACACUUUGAGGACGUGACAGCAGCUGUGUCAGAGCUCAGAGACAAACUACAGGACAUCCUGAGAGACACAUGGACAAACAUCUCACUGACAAUCACUGCAGUGGAUGUUCUACUGGUAGAACCAGAGCCAGAACCAAACAGCAGAGAUGGAUUCUUAAAAUAUUCACAAAAAAUCACUCUGGAUCCAAAUUCAGCAUACAGAAAGCUGUUAUUAUCUGAGGGGAGCAGAAAAGUGUCUUUUCUGAUAGAAGGCGAAGAAGAGACAGAAGAGGAAGAAGAGUCGGAAGAGGAAGAAGAACUUUAUCCUGGUCAUCCAGACAGAUUUAGUGAUAUCCCUCAGGUCCUGAGUAGAGAGAGUCUGACUAAACGUUAUUACUGGGAGGUGGAGCGGACAGGAAAAGUUCUUGUAGCAGUUUCAUACAAGAAUAUCAGCAGAGCAGGAGGGUCAGAUGAAUGUUUAUUUGGAUUCAAUGACAAAUCUUGGUCAUUAAAUUGUACCACAGGCAGUUACACAUUUCAUCACAACAAAGUUAAAACUCCAGUACCAGGUCCAGUUUCCUCCAGAAUAGGAGUGUACCUGGACCACAGAGCAGGUAUUUUGUCUUUCUACAGCGUCUCUGAAACCAUGACUCUCCUCCACAGAGUCCAGACCAGAUUCACUCAGCCUCUAAAUGCUGGAGUUGGGAUUUACUAUUAUGGAGCCUCUGCUGAGUUCAUUAACCUGGAUAGUCAGCAGUGAUCUGAGGUCCAAUUGGUUAAAAACAGUGUUUUAGUUUCAGUUUCUGUAGUUUCUAUCAUUGUUGCUGAGAGCUUCUCUGCUCAGAGAUCAGCUGUCUCUAUGGAGAUACGUUAUCAUCUUGUUUGUUGUUUUGUUGAUGUUGGAGUUUGUCUGGGUGCUGCCCCUUCCUGUUUCUGUUCAGCCAUGGAGACAGACACUGCUCAGGAGGAUUUUGUCCACCUAAACUAAUUAUAUUCAUAUUUGUUUUGUCAAAUCAAAUGUUGCAUAUUCAGGUCUGCAGAUAGAAACUAAUUAUCCUCAUCAAUCAAGAGAAUUUUACAGCACAGAUCAGAUUCUGGGUCAAACUGGUUGUUGAAAUGAAAAAGCAGAUAUGUGGACAAAAAUAUAAUUUUAAAGUUUUUGUGGUUUAUAUUUUAUUUUGUGUUGGCAAGUAAUAAUAUUCUUAAAGUGAAUUGUUGUAUGCAAUGGUGUUUGGCUGCAAAUGUUGAUGUAAUUAGGAACUUAAGAUCUCUAGAAAUUAUUUAAAUCUGUUCUGCUUUGGCUGAAAUGGAAUUAUUCUCUUUAUUAUAUUUUUAUGAUUAUAUAUUACAUUUAUAUAUAUAUAUAUAGCUGCAUUUGUUUUGUUUGUUUUUUUAUUCUGCUUUUAUCUUAAAAACACAGCAGGAUUUUUGUGUCGACCUCUAUUAUCGCCUCAUCAUCACCGUGAACAUGAUUGUUUCCUCAGGUCUAGAAACCAGUAAUAUCUUUAAUAGUUCCACUUUUUCAUGUUUUUCUGUUUGUUUCUUUUUUUUCCUUCGUUUUGGUUUUGCUGUUUGCUGGUUUUUCUUUUCUUACUGUUUUUAUCUCUUGGUGGGAGAUGUCUGUGUUUGUGGGGCUAGUGUUGACCUUUGACCUAAAUAUGGAUUCUGAUAUUGUUGAAAAGGAAACGUGUUUGAGAUUUGUACUCCAGUUGACAUAAAUCUACACAUUUGUGAUGCAAAUGUUACCUGGAAUAUUUUAGAUAACACUUUGAACUGCAAGGGUUUACAGAACAACGCGUGUUUGUAGAUUUAACAUGUAAGAUUAUAAUUACGUGAUUUUAAUAAUGGGUUACUUUGAAUAGGCCGGUCUGAGCCACUCCGGCCACUACUGACCGUUUAUGAUAAAAGUAUCAGCCUGAAGGUUUUUAACUAUUUCUUCUGGCCGUGCUACAGGACAGAUAUCGACGGACAACUAAACAAGCUCAUCAAAUUUAAAGUAAGAUUACAUUUUUUUAAUAAAGGAUGCAAUUUUAAUAGGUUCCUAAGAGUUACAUUUUCUAAACUGACAUUAAAAUAUGUGUUUUAUACCUCUGAUGGUUUUUCUGAUUGAAAGGAUUUGUUUAUGCUUCGUAGAAGGUUUUGUCUGGAGUUUUUAGUGAGUUAGCAGUUAAUAAGCAGCACAGGUGAUAUUUUAUUUGAACUAUUUUGAAUGCCUGUCUGGACUUGAGAGCUGCUGGGCUGCACAUUUCAAAUUCAGUUUCCCUCAAGUCUUUGGUGUGUAAUUUACUGUGUGAAUGUUGUUUAUUCUCACAGUUUCAUGUUUAUAUCUAGGCAAUUAUUUUUAUAACCGUAUUUAGAAGAACAGAGUAACACACUUCAAGCACUAAUCUGGUACUAAAAUUCAGAAAACGUUAAUUUCUAAGUUUAAAGAAUAAAUAUCUCUAAUGAGCUGACUGGUUGUUUAUGGUGCUGUUAAGUAAACCAGAUAUUGUCACCAGGAAUAAGGAUUAGGGUGAUGGCAUUGAGGCCUUCCAACCUCAAUCAGGACUUGGAGCUGAUCACCAGAUUUUAUUCCACCAAAAUACCAGA